rnacentral:lncRNA from 1 species
GCGUCCUUCGUGAUUUCGUCCGGAUUCAACAACACAAAGUAAUGAAAUCCCCACAACCACCUCACACAAAUGCAGAUGACCAAAUUCUGAAAAGUGACUUCAUAAUGGAUUUCCAACCUCUGAGCAGUAGAGACAGCACAGUCUGAAAACCAGGGUGGCGCAGUGACAUGUCUCCAGAGAUGAAGAAGGACCCUUUUGGUUUCCAGAACAGAACAGACUUGCUCGAGAGGCCCACAGACCUCGGCAGAUCACCAGAAUCCACUUGAUCUUUCUGCUUGGGAGGACCGUCACUCCGUCCAGGACAUCACUGCCCCCUACCCUGGGCCCCCUGCCCCGGUUCAUCAGUGCUCCCAGGGCUUCUCAGCUUACUGGAAUAUUUUAAAGCAGCUCUCAGACUUCUUUUCUAAGUGCUUUAGUGUAUGAUUCUAAUAUAUAUGGAAUAUAGCCACAAAAUUUACUACACUCAACAGAACAGCUAAUAAUUAAUAAUUCCAUUGAAUGUGUCUGCUUCAAGGAUCUAGUCAAAGUCAGAUGUAUAUAGUUGUGAUUGAGGUGACCAUUUGUUCUGUACAAUUCACAUUUUAAAUAUGGUAGGUUAUAUCCUCAAGGUGUACUUUCAUGUCUUCCCCAUGUUUUCUGUAAAUCCACAGUAAAAUCUAGAAGCUUC